ACUUUUGGCAGCUGUCAACAAGCUUCUUGCAAAAUUCUGUGUCAUCUGUGCAAAAUUCGGAUAAUGUUUUGAUUCUUAGUUUAGUCACCUGAGUUCUGUUCUGUGUCAUGGUGUUUUUAUUUAGUUCCUGUCUCCCUGUGGUCCCUCUGUGUGCCUGACUCCCUGAUGUUUCUGUCUGGUUUUGUCUCUCUGUUUGUCUGGUUUCUGUGUCAAGUUCAAGUGUCUUAAUUUGUAGUCCUAGUCUCUGUAUUUAGUCAUUUCCUGUUUUACUUUGGCAGUCCGCUUUAUCUUGUGCUCUGUAUUCCGUUUUGCUUCCUCUGUUUUGUUAAUGUGAUUCUGUUCAGCUGUUUUCCCUGGUGUGUCAAGUGCCCCUGAUUACCUGGUUCGUUUUGAUAUGCAACAACUGAGGUAGAGCCAGGCCAAACCAGCAUAAUGCACGCUGCUUCUUCUCUGGAGUCCGAGCAGCACUCACAUGUGUUGCUGUGGUGGUGUUGGUGUAUUGCUGGAGCAGUAGUCCAGUGGAACAGCAUGAGGAGGUUGUGUCCUGGCUCGAAAACCUGGGGCCAGCUGUGCAGAAAAAGGUUAAAGGAUAAAGUUCUGGGGGUUAAACUGUCACAGAACAACU